CGCGGUUUUUUACAGACGCUAGAAUGAAUUGCUUGCCGGGAAAUGUUAAAAACCAUUUAAUUUGUGUGGAUACAGAUGAUUGCCUAGCUGAUAUGUAUAAGAUUUGCCUCAAAAGGCUAAAGAAAAAGGGAUCACUUGUUUUGAUCAUAACCUCAAAAACAUUCGAUUUUUUCUCAUUGCCCAUGAAGCGUAUGAAAAUAUCGAAGGAGAAGAUGAAACAAUUGAUUGUAAUUAACUAUGCAACAAUUGCCGAUGUCUCUCAAAAGUUAAUGGAUUUAUGCGAAUGGUCCCUGCUACCUGCUAUGGUUGUGGUAGAUGUUUCUGAUAUGACAUCAACAGAGCCAGCAACUACGCUAAUGAAAAAUCUUAGUUUGUGUGCUGCGUCAUUUUUAGAUUACUUAAUGGCUAUAUCGUUGCAAAACCAAGAAAAACAAAAUGAUCAACUAGUGGUGCAAGGGCUUUUUAUAGUAAAAGAAAGUGGAGACAACUUUAUUGAUGCCCAGCUCCAAUUGCUUCAGAAUUUUUAUUUUUACAAGAAAAACGUGUUGGUUGAUGCUCAUGAAUUGGAGAAGAUUUUAGAAAAUGGAAGAGACUAAUCAUAAGGAAUAUUGGCGGAAACUUGCAUUCCGAAAUUUGUUGUAGCCUGCAAUUCAAUACAAGAAAUCAAGAUUCAAUUCAAGAUCUAACUUGUAAUCACAAAGCUUUGUUUACAACAUUUCACCGAAAUUUUGAAGGCUUAAUCGCAUUAACAAAUCUGACAUUUGCAACGAAGCCACCAAGAGAAAAUUUUCAAACUAAAAGCAAAAGUGUCGCCAAAUUAAGUAAAACACCGUUUGAAAUGUUUAAAACUUUUAAAAGGAGGAAAGCUUCAUCAUAAGCAGUAGAAUGGUUACCGUUGCCAUUAUGGGUCUUUUUCCUCUUUCGUGGCCAUCAUCAAAGGGCCGGACCCCUUUAAUGCUAUAUGACCUUUUGCUCCGACUCCAAUUACACUGCUUUGCUUGCACCAUGAGUGCGAUUUAUGGCCAAAUACGGAUUUCAAGCUAUGUUGGUUUUGCCUGAAUUUCAUGGAAUGAUGAUAAUGGCCAUUGGCCGAAUAUAAGAAAAAGAAGAAAAAAUAGAAAAUAAUACCACCAAACACAGAGCAAACCCACUUAAAGAUACAGAUAGCCAAGGAAAUGAAAACAUUAAACAUGGCCACUGGUGUGAACCAUUUGAGAAAAGAGGAAAAGACAGCAUUAAAUAAAAACCAAGGAAAUGACUAUCAUUUAAGUAAAUCACACUUGAACCAUAGGGAAAACUUCCUUAGACACAAUCUGCUUUUAUGCCUUCUUGAAGUGUGACCAACUCAUAAAAUCCUAGAGCUAUGCAUAUCUUAUCCCGAAGGACAACAUAGCAUCACCAUCACCAUCACAAUCAUCAUCGUCAUCAUUGUCUUUCAACACUUUGUCUGCCAAGUGCGGAUUCCACGUAAUGCAUAUCGGUAAGUGAUCUCAAAACUUGUAACAUUCC